rnacentral:pre_miRNA from 1 species
CGGGUGGAUCACGGUGCAAUUUUGAUUAGAUUAGCAGGACGGAAAUUGCACGGUAUCCAUCUGUA